CGGGUGCACCAGGCGCGAAAACUUUACAAUGCCGGCAACGGCGAUAAGGGAACCUCGAGUGCCAGGUUACAAAUCUGGCUGUCGUGAUGCCUAAAAAGCAUUGCAUAGCAAGGGCCGGGCAAGACCGGUGCCAGCCGCCGCGGUAACACCGGCGGCUCGAGUGGUAACCGUUAUUAUUGGGCCUAAAGGGUCUGUAGCCGGCCGGGUAAGUCUCUUGGGAAAUCUGGCAGCUUAACUGUCAGGCUUUCAGGAGAUACUGCCUGGCUCGAGGCCGGGAGAGGUGAGAGGUACUUCAGGGGUAGGGGUGAAAUCUUGUAAUCCUUGAAGGACCACCAGUGGCGAAGGCGUCUCACCAGAACGGACCUGACGGCAAGGGACGAAAGCUAGGGGCACGAACCGGAUUAGAUACCCGGGUAGUCCUAGCCGUAAACGAUACUCGCUAGGUGUCGGCCACGGUGCGACCGUGGUCGGUGCCGUAGGGAAGCCGUGAAGCGAGCCACCUGGGAAGUACGGCCGCAAGGCUGAAACUUAAAGGAAUUGGCGGGGGAGCAC
rnacentral:rRNA from 1 species